GAACGCAUAUUGCACUCCUUUGGGAGUAUGCCUGUUUGAGAAUCUAUAGUAUUUUUUUUUCUAGUUUACUGGAAAGAGAUUUGGCGUGUCUUUUCUAAAGUACGCUUAAAGUUAUAGCUAGUCGCUGAAAAAGUGCCAAAGCAAAAAUUGUUUGAAACUCUUUAGAGUAACCUACAUUUUUGAUUUGGAUAAACGCUUUCUCUGGUGGUUAGCUCAAAGGAUUCUUUAUUGAACCAGGAGGUUUUAAUUAACCCGAACCAUGGUCUCAAAUCAGGUAG
rnacentral:misc_RNA from 1 species